GUCUCCGUGGUUUAGUCGGGAGAACACCCACUAUGGUGCGGUAGGGUUCGGGUUCGAGUCCUGGUGGAGGCA